GUGAAGAGCAUGAGAAGACCAUUGGGUGUCCUUCACUCAAGCAGUCACCCUCCACCCACCUUCUUGGUGGUUUCUGACUGGCUUGCCCCUUUCAGUUCAAACUGCACCCAGGAAACUGAAGCCAGUGAUCAAAGCUGCUGCUGCUGCUGCUGCUGCAUCGCUUCAGUCGUGUCCGACUCUGUGCGACCCCAGAGACGGCAGCCCACCAGGCUUCCCCGUCCCUGGGAUUCUCCAGCAAGAGCCUGUGUAUCAAAGUUUCAGAAGAAACCUAAGAAUUUCAGUCAAUUGGGAUGAAUGGAUACCAGUGGAUUGUCCAUGAUCUGAGAUCCGCUAGGAGUGGAAUUGCAGGAUUGUAUCCAAUUUAAAAAGUGGGCAGAGGACCUGAAGAGUAUUUUUCCAAAGAAGACGUGCAGAGAACCAUGCAUGUGCAGCCACAUGAAAAGACGCUCAACCUCAUGAAUCAUCAGGGGAAGCAAAUCAAAACCAUAAUGUGACAUCAUCUCAUACCUGUCAGGAUAGUUAUUGUGGAAAAAAAAGAAACAAGAAAUAACAAGAAUGGCAAGGAUGUGGGAAAAAAGGGAACCUUAGAACAGUGUUGGUGGGAAUGUAAAUUAGUAUAGACACUAUGGAAAACAGUAUGAAGGUUCCCCCAAAAUUAAACAUAGAUCUAUCUAAGUCUUAGGUUAAAGAGGACCCAAACUGGUAGUUAUUAUAAGACCUAAAGGAGAUAAUACACAGAAAUUAAGGUCUAGUGCCUAGCAUGUAGUAAGUUUUCAAUAAAUGUCAGUUGUUGCUUUCACAAAGAAUGUUUUACGGUUGGUAAUAGUUAUUUGUGUCUCAGAAUUUGACCAAUAUAGACCAAUGAAUACAGCCAUUGAGUAUGGGCAUUUAACACAUCCAAUUAAUG
ensembl:lncRNA